GAGUUUGAUCGUGGCUCAGAUUGAACGCUGGCGGCAUGCCUUACACAUGCAAGUCGAACGGCAGCAUGAUCUAGCUUGCUAGAUUGAUGGCGAGUGGCGAACGGGUGAGUAAUACAUCGGAACGUGCCCUGUAGUGGGGGAUAACUAGUCGAAAGAUUAGCUAAUACCGCAUACGACCUGAGGGUGAAAGUGGGGGGACCGCAAGGCCUCAUGCUAUAGGAGCGGCCGAUGUCUGAUUAGCUAGUUGGUGGGUAAAGGCCCACCAAGGCGACGAUCAGUAGCUGGUCUGAGAGGACGAUCAGCCACACUGGGACUGAGACACGGCCCAGGACUCCUACGGGAGGCAGCAGUGGGGAAUUUUGGACAAUGGGCGAAAGCCUGAUCCAGCAAUGCCGCGUGUGUG
rnacentral:rRNA from 1 species